rnacentral:rRNA from 1 species
AGAUUGAACGCUGGCGGCAGGCCUGACACAUGCAAGUCGAGCGGCAGCACGGGUACUUGUACCUGGUGGCGAGCGGCGGACGGGUGAGUAAUGCCUAGGAAUCUGCCUGGUAGUGGGGGGAUAACGCUCGGAAACGGACGCUAAUACCGCAUACGUCCUACGGGAGAAAGCAGGGGACCUUCGGGCCUUGCGCUAUCAGAUGAGCCUAGGUCGAUUAGCUAGUUGGUGAGGUAAUGGCUCACCAAGGCGACGAUCCGUAACUGGUCUGAGAGGAUGAUCAGUCACACUGGAACUGAGACACGGUCCAGCUCCGAGGGAGCAGCGAGUGGGAAUGUGGAACAAGUGGGACGAAAGCCGUGACUACCGAGCCUAUCGCCGUCGUAGGUGAG